CUCAGUGAUGGAUGGCCCUUCUUGGGGAUAUGCCAAAAGCUCAUAUUUUUCUCAAACACAAUGACUUCUUAUAAGGUAGAAAAGAACUGGGGGCUUUAGAUUGGAGGCCUUUGGAGAGGUGUGUAGGCUGACUUACAGCCUUGGACUCAGCUGCCAAGAGAAAGGAGGGUAGGAUACACCCAUUUUAUCUACUUGUGGCCAACACUGGCAAUUAGCCCAAGGAGAUGAUUGCAUAACCCAGAACUUGGCCUUUGUGUGAGGACAGAUGAGAAGUAUUGGACCCUAUCUCUCUGGAGCUUCCAACAGCCUAUGAACACAUGGAACCGCUGAUCCCUUUGUCCAUUUUUGUUCUUGUUCUUUAAUGUCCCCGGUACAGGAGUAUUGGAGAUGGAAUUGAUCAUCACAAGUGACCCUGUGAGCUUCAGAAUGUUGGAAGAGCUCCUAGAAUUCCCCUCAGCAGCUUAAGUUGGUGCCAGAGACGGCUAGAUCUGAUAGCAGCUGUAGCUGUGACCAAUUAAGAAACAAACUAGCUUGACUUAGCCCAGCAGUGGUGGUUUGAUCCAUCAUCAUUGGAGACUACAUCCUGAAAGGAGCUGGCUAGCGGAGCUACUCAGGAGCAACUGUAUCAUGGCCCAUCGUUGGACAACAUAAAAUCAGCCAUAUCAUGAAUCUGGAUUUUGAGAAACUGAUUUGAAGUCUUUCUGGAGGUUAUUCCCUACAGGACCUACAGGAGAAAAGAAAUUAGAAAACAAUCCUCCUUCUGAGAUUUCUUCUCUUCAGAGAAAUAAACAAGAUAAAAAAAAACAAUAACAUGGCAGUUUAUAGAAAGAACUUCAUUGGAGUUAAGGUUAACCCAAUCCAUGCCACAUUUUUUACUUGUGUCAUUGUAUUA